rnacentral:rRNA from 1 species
UACAGAGGGUGCAAGCGUUGUUCGGAAUUAUUGGGCGUAAAGGGCGCGUAGGCGGUGCGGUAAGUCUGUAGUGAAAUCUCUGGGCUCAACUCAGAGUCUGCUAUAGAAACUGCCGUGCUUGAGUGUGGGAGAGGUGAGUGGAAUUCCCGGUGUAGCGGUGAAAUGCGCAGAUAUCAGGAAGAACACUCGUGGCGAAGGCGGCUCUCUGGAACGCAACUGACGCUGAGACGCGAAAGCGUGGGGAGCAAACAGG